GGUUGCCUCCUCCUGCCCUUCCUCCUCCUCCCCUUCCUCCUCCUCCCCUUCCUCCUCCUCCCCUUCCUCCUCCUCUGGCCGCUUAGUCUCACACCCGCCGGGCCGUUGCUCCCGAGACGUUGUUGAGUCCCCUGUGUCCUCUUCUGGACUACGCCAAGCCACAGGUGGAGGAACUGCAAUGUCUGGUGGAGAACAGAAACCAGAGAGGUACUAUGUGGGUGUGGACGUUGGAACAGGCAGUGUCCGCGCAGCUCUGGUGGACCAGAGUGGGGUCCUGUUGGCUUUUGCAGAUCAGCCAAUUAAGAAGUGGGAGCCCCAGUUCAACCACCACGAGCAGUCCUCUGAGGACAUCUGGGCUGCGUGCUGUGUUGUUACAAAGAAAGUUGUACAAGGGAUUGAUUUAAACCAAAUUCGAGGACUUGGGUUUGAUGCCACGUGUUCUCUGGUUGUUUUGGAUAAGCAGUUUCGCCCAUUACCGGUCAACCAUGAAGAGGAUUCCCAUCGAAAUGUCAUCAUGUGGCUGGACCAUCGAGCAGUCAGUCAGGUCAAUAGGAUCAACGAGACCAAGCACAGCGUCCUCCAGUACGUCGGGGGGGUGAUGUCUGUGGAAAUGCAGGCCCCGAAGCUUCUGUGGCUGAAAGAGAACUUGAGAGAGACUUGCUGGGAUAAGGCGGGACAUUUCUUUGAUCUCCCAGACUUCUUAUCAUGGAAGGCAACAGGUGUCACAGCACGGUCUCUCUGCUCCCUGGUGUGUAAGUGGACAUACUCAGCAGAGAGAGGCUGGGACGACAGUUUCUGGAAAAUGAUUGGUUUGGAAGACUUUGUUGCAGAUAAUUACAGCAAAAUAGGAAACCAAGUGCUACCUCCUGGAGCUUCUCUUGGAAAUGGGCUCACACCAGAGGCAGCAAGAGACCUGGGCCUUCUCCCUGGGAUUGCGGUUGCAGCUUCACUCAUUGAUGCCCAUGCAGGAGGACUAGGAGUGAUUGGGGCAGAUGUGAAAGGGCAUGGCCUUGUCUGUGAGGGGCAGCCAGUGACGUCACGGCUGGCUGUCAUCUGUGGAACGUCUUCUUGUCACAUGGGGAUCAGCAAAGACCCAAUUUUUGUACCAGGCGUCUGGGGGCCUUAUUUCUCAGCCAUGGUACCUGGGUUCUGGCUGAAUGAAGGUGGUCAGAGCGUUACUGGAAAAUUGAUAGACCACAUGGUAGAAGGCCAUGCUGCUUUUCCAGAACUACAAGUAAAGGCCACAGCCAGAUGCCAGAGUGUAUAUGCAUAUCUGAACAGUCACCUGGAUCUGAUUAAGAAGGCUCAGCCUGUGGGUUUCCUUACGGUUGAUUUACAUGUUUGGCCAGAUUUCCAUGGCAACCGGUCUCCCUUAGCAGAUCUGACACUAAAGGGCAUGGUCACCGGAUUGAAACUGUCUCAGGACCUCGAUGAUCUUGCCAUUCUCUACCUGGCCACAGUUCAAGCCAUUGCUUUGGGGACUCGCUUCAUUAUAGAAGCCAUGGAGGCAGCAGGGCACUCGAUCAGUACUCUUUUCCUGUGUGGAGGCCUCAGCAAGAAUCCCCUUUUUGUGCAAAUGCAUGCGGACAUUACUGGCAUGCCUGUGGUCCUGUCGCAAGAGGUGGAGUCUGUUCUUGUGGGUGCUGCUAUUCUGGGUGCCUGUGCCUCAGGGGAUUUCGCUUCUGUACAGUGGGGGAAAUAGAUAGCUCAGUUGUGGACAAUAGCAGCAAUGGGAAGAGGUAUUUGAGAAGAAAUCAGACUCCCUUCUUCCAGUCUUUUGCAAGACAGCUGUCCCCAAAGGGAUGAAUCCAUUACCUUCCACCAGAGUUGAGUUCAUUUUCCAUUUCAUGUUUCUGUUUAAAGCGAAAGCCCUUUAAAAGCGCUGAGCAUACACUGAGUGUGUGUACUUAAUUUUUAAUAUGUAUGCGCCCACACCUAAGAGAACAGAGAACCUUAAAUAAUAAUGAAACCGAAUUGUACAUGUUGUAUGUUUUAUGUGGCACUGAUUCCUAAAUAUGCUCUUAGCAGCCAGGUAUUAUUUAAUACAUCCCCAUUAAUCAAACUGCCAAAUCUAAAUGAAAACCAUGUUUAAAUAUGUUUAAUAAGAUUAUAGCUUUUGGUUGAAUAUCAAACUAACAUAGCUACAUUUUUCCUUCCAGCCAGCCCUCAUUUACUGUCUUAUAUUUUUACUCUGAAAGCUAGUUCUUUUGUACUAUCAAGUCAAUCUUGAUUAUAAAACAAGUUAUACCACAAACUUGUAAUAUCAUGAGCUUCAGCUGAGUCCUUCAUUGUAAAUGUCAGGAGAAAGAACAGUUCUGAGAAUUUUUUUUCUGGCUAAAAAAUGAUAUUUUUCUUCUUCUUGGGGUGAGCCUUUGAGUUUAAAAGGAAAUUAAAAUUCUAUUAGAGAUACUAAAUUGUUUUGUAGCAUCUGUAUUAAAUGAUGUCUGCCUUUUGCAUAGUUAUUGAAAGUGUUUCAUACUAAAGGUACUUUUUCUUUUUG